rnacentral:rRNA from 1 species
AUGACGGUGCUAAGCUGGAACUGUCGGGGCCUCAGGCAGCCCCGGACAGUUCAGGAGCUAGUAUGCCUAGUGCAUACCCAUAAGCCCAAGAUCGUCUUCAUCACUGAAACUAGACAGUGCGAGAAUAAAGUUAGAGGCAUAAAAUGGAGAUUGGGAUUAAAGCAUUGCCUCACCCAUGAUGGUAAAGGCAAAGGGGCUGGAAUAGCACUGUAUUGGGAUGAUUCAAUAAAAAUAAAAGUUCUUUCGUAUGGGCCGAGGUAUUUUGAUGUGAUUGUCUCUGAACCCAACUGUCCUAAGUGGCGAGGGACCUUUGUAUAUGGUGAGUCAAGGGCACAAGAUAGACACCUUAUGUGGAAUCUGCUAAAAAACAUUGCUCCGCAAUCGAGUGAGCCAUGGCUAAUGGUAGGCGAUUUUAAUGAGACCAUGUGGCAACAUGAACAUCUUUCCUAUGCACAAAGAUCUGAGAGAAGAAUGGAAAAUUUCAGAGAGGUCUUAAUGUACUGUGAGCUACAUGAUCUGGGAUACAAAGGUCCCAUCUGGACAUAUGACAACAAGCAACACGGAGACAAAAACAUUCGAGCAAGGUUAGACAGAGCUGUUGCUUCCCAAGCUUGGUGUGAGCUGUUUGAAGAACACACCGGAACCCACAUCUGCUCUACAAGGUCAGAUCAUUUCCCGGUUCUGGUUGAAAUAGGUAUGAAUACUUGGCGCAAAAAACAAAAUCGCACUUUCCACUAUGAACAGAUGUAG